AGUGAACGCUGGCGGUAGGCCUAACACAUGCAAGUCGAACGGCAGCACAGUAAGAGCUUGCUCUUACGGGUGACGAGUGGCGGACGGGUGAGGAAUACAUCGGAAUCUACUUUUUCGUGGGGGAUAACGUAGGGAAACUUACGCUAAUACCGCAUACGACCUACGGGUGAAAGCAGGGGAUCUUCGGACCUUGCGCGAUUGGAUGAGCCGAUGUCGGAUUAGCUAGUUGGCGGGGUAAAGGCCCACCAAGGCGACGAUCCGUAGCUGGUCUGAGGGGAUGAUCAGCCACACUGGAACUGAGACACGGUCCAGACUCCUACGGGAGGCAGCAGUGGGGAAUAUUGGACAAUGGGCGCAAGCCUGAUCCAGCCAUACCGCGUGGGUGAAGAAGGCCUUCGGGUUGUAAAGCCCUUUUGUUGGGAAAGAAAAGCAGCAGGUUAAUACCCCGCUGUUCUGACGGUACCCAAAGAAUAAGCACCGGCUAACUUCGUG
rnacentral:rRNA from 1 species